AUAAAGGUGCAUCCACACUUGGGCAUGCGCACGAACCGUGCACACAACGCGCAUCGAACACCUACGGAUGUCACUGUCUCUGUGCGCACGUGCAAGUCGCGAAUGCGUAUAUUAUUAUCAUGUUUGUAUUCACUUCCAAAAACUCUCGGACAUGUCCACGCCGUGAUUUGUACAACAUCCACGCAAACCGCUCGCAAACCACACUUGGACACGUCCACAUUAUACGUAUUCUUAUGGUGCGUGUUGUGUGCACGGUUCGUGCGCGUGCGUAAGUGUGGAUCAGUCUUAAUUAGUUUUCCAAA